UUCUGAGCUUAUGAACUCUCUCUCUCUCAUGGAUCCAAAUCAAGAAACGAUUAUUUGUUAUCUCUCUCUACUCUCUCUCUUCGAUGAAGAAUACAAAGCAUCCGAUAUACCCGUUCUUUGUUUUGUUGUUAGCUGGGUUUGUUUUAGUUUCAAACGAUUGAACAAAUCUUCAACAUGAGCAGACGCUUAGAAACCCUAACUUCUGGAAGAUCAAAAGGCAGAGGUUCAGAAUUUGUUCAUCGAAACUGAAGAUGAUGCAGUUGCUUCCGGUUCCGUUUCCUCCACCAAUAACGCCUCCAGAUGAUUUGGUUGACUCAUUGAUGAACAUUAUUCGCCACCGUGAAACAGAAUACCUGACUUCCCUACAGGUUGAUUCCUUUGCUACUUCUCAUGAUAGUGAAACUCAUGAAGCUACCUGUAGAAUCUUGUCGGUCAUAUUACGUCAGAUUGAUGGGUUCGAGCAGGACAAAAAAGUGGUCGUGAUAGCUGCAACCAAUAGAAAACAAGAUCUUGAUCCUGCUUUACUAAGUCGGUUUGACUCCAUGAUAACUUUUGGCCUACCUGAUCAACACACUCGUCAGGAGAUAGCAGCUCAAAAUAUGCAAAACACUUAACAAAGACUGAGUUAGUUGAAUUUGCUGCAGCUACUGAAGAAAUGUCUGGAUGAGAUAUUCGAGACGUGUGUCAACAAGCAGAGAGGCGUUGGGCGUCAAAGGUUAUACGAGGUCAAGUACAGAAAGAUGAAGAUGGUGCUUCUCUUCCACCACUCCAAGAGUACAUCGAGAGCGCUUUAGAACGACAUAAGUUAAAGUAGAUGGACUUAAGCUUAGCCGAGGAAGUUGUUGCGGUGGAUGACGGUACGGAUCCGGUCAUCGGAAGUUUUGUUCCGGAGCGUGAUUACUUCAAUGAGUUGUUUGAAGACCAUGAACUAAAUCCUGAAGUUCCUAAAAGCUUACCUAUUUGUGAUAUAAGGUAUUCGGAAUUGAUACUGUGUUUGGAUAGACAUCUUAUAUAUCAAAUGAAGUUGAAGCUUAAUUUGAUUUUAAUGGGGCAUUAUGAGCGGCAUUGUCCACCUACGGCGAGGAGUGCGAUGUUUGGAACAGUGAUAUGGCCUGCAGCUGAAUAUGGAAGAACAAUGUGAUGGAUUUAUUUACCAGACUGACAUGAUACAUGGAUGGAACAGAUGAAGAAUUUAGAAAGCACACUUGAGAGAGUGAAGGGGUCGCUUGAAGCAAGGAUAAAAAGGAAGACGAACUGUAAGUUGUUCCAUAUAUAGAAAGUAACCUUUCUAACUACUGUUUUAUCAAUUGUUACUAAUCUGUUUAUGUGUAUGUAAAACAUGAUUAUCCGAAGCCAAAAAAGAGCAAAGACAGUCCGACGGAAACCUAAUUUCACAGAUUCUUUUCAAUUCAAACACAUUUUUCGCUAAUUAUUCUUCCAAAUCAAAUUUGUACUCCGGUAAGUCUUUAGUUUCGCAAAAUUUCUAUUUCUAGGGUUUGUUAUUCAUUCAAACGAAAAGUGUUAUUUUGGUUAGGUAUAAUAGGCAUUAUGUGCUAUUGGUUUGAACUUUAGUUGAAUAAAGUUAAGUAAUUUACUCCGAGUAAUUGUGAAUUUAGAGUAAUUGUUAAAAUAAAACAGUCGUUGAUACAUCUGUUGACAGUCAACAGAUGGAUGAACAGAUGUUUAAAACCACUGUUGGGUUAAAAUAGUGUUUUGUGUAGAAAAAGUGAAACCACUGUUUUGGGUUAAAACAUAUGUUAGAAACAUUGUUUUGGGUUAAAAUAGAUGUUUGAAAAUAAAACAGUGUUUGAAACAACUGUUGGUUUAAAACAUUGUUUUAACCACCUUUGAACCACUGUUGGGUUAAACAGAUAUUAGAACCAGUGUUUUGGGUUAAAACAGAUGAUAGAAAAUAAAACAGUGUUAGAACAGUGUUUUGGGUUAAAACAGUGUUUUGGGUUUGAAGCAAUGAAAGCUGCAGAGAAACAGUGUUAGAGCAGUGUUUUGGGUUAAAACAACGUUAGAAACAGUGUUUUGGGUUAAAACAGUGUUUUGGGUUUGAAAUAGUGUUUGAAGCAAUGAAGGCUGCAGAGAAACUUCAAAGUAAUUUACAGUCUGAAUAUCCCUCUUUUGUAAAGUCAAUGGUCCGUUCUCAUGUGUUGUGUGGUUUUAUCAUUUAUAGUACAGAUGGAUACCAAGAGGGCUAUAGGCUAUUGCUAAACUAAGAGAGGAGAACAUUUAGUUUGCAAACAGGUGCCUGAGACAUGAAAAGCCAGAAGAAAACCCUUCCGCUUAACAAAGAUAAAUUUAUCUUAAAGAUGUUUAUUCGGGGUGAGUCGAUUAUCAUUGUCCUUAUCGGUCCCAAAUGAAAGUUGGAACGAACAAUUCUCGGUGAAACCGGUGAGACAAUCAUUGACUAACCGACUAGAUCUGAACCAAACAGUAACUGAAUUGAUCCUGGAAUAGAAUAGCGACUCCGAAAGUUAAUAUGUUUGUCUCGAGAGCAAUCGAGGGGAAGAUUCCAACUAUGAAAGCUUUGGCGAACAAGGGCAUAUAAGUACAGAAUUCAUUAUGUGUGUUAUGGGUACAGCAGACAAGAUAGUAGAUCAUGUGUUGGUAGAUGCAGCCUUGCAGAUAUGAGAGGAUUAGAGAUGCUUCAAUGUAAUCUGUUUUGAACUUGCUCUACAACAUGGUUUCUAUAACAACUUGAACUUGCUCUACAACAUGGUUUCUAUAACAACUUGCUGUAGGAGCUUUUUUUUUGUUUUUGAAUGAAAUUUCCUUUGCCUUUCUUUA